UACAGAGGGGGCAAGCGUUGUUCGGAAUUACUGGGCGUAAAGGGCGCGUAGGCGGCCUUCUAAGUCGAACGUGAAAUCUCCGGGCUCAACCCGGGAACUGCGUCCGAGACUGGAAGGCUUGAAUCCGGGAGAGGGAUGUGGAAUUCCAGGUGUAGCGGUGAAAUGCGUAGAUAUCUGGAGGAACAUCGGUGGCGAAGGCGGCAUCCUGGACCGGUAUUGACGCUGAGGCGCGAAAGCCAGGGGAGCAAACGGG
rnacentral:rRNA from 1 species